CAGAUUUCUCUCCCACUGUGAUGUCACAGUUGGACCAUUUGGGGUAACUCCGCCUGCAAUCUGAGAAUCUCCAUUUUCUGGUGAAGGGGCGUGACAUUUCCUACACAUUUUGAAACUGGUUUACCCAUCUAAGCAGACUAGCCCAGUUGGCCAAUCAGAGCAGACUGGGGUUAAUUGGGAGGAGGGGCUAAAAGAAAUCCAGGCAUCUUAGACAGGGUAAAAAGAGGUGCUGCAGGAAUGGACAGUGUGAGAACACCGACGCCUUUUCUGAACAUUAGAGCAUGUAAAUCUUUUCAAGUGGUUAACCUCAUUAAAAGUAUGAACCUGAAUAUGAGCAUAAUAUGUCACCUUUAAAAAUCUUAUACUAUAUUACGAAUUUGUGCCUGUUUCUGCCAAUCAUUUAUCUAAUAUUGUGAUGUAAGUGUGGUGUAACCAUAUACAAAAACAUCACUUGAUGACGGACACUUUUUAUCUAAACGUCCUACUGGUGCCAUGAAUGCCGUCUCACAGGUGUCAUGGUGAUAUAACCCUGAUUGCGCUGGAAGUGUUUACAUCACAUCAGAAGCUGCUGUUCUGACUUGUUGGUCCCCAAACUCUCCCCCUCAAUAAUGCAAAACUUUUCGUCCUCCCUCACGGCUAGCCAUAUAUUCAAAUUACUGGUACAUCCUGAGAAAACUUCACCCCUCCCCAAUCUCUGUCUCUUCCCUUAGGUCCUCUGUUAAUUCAGGCAGAUCAGCGCUCCAAAUAUAGACAACCGAAGCAAUCUCUGAGCAAGUACAUGAUGACAACUUUUCAGACAUCUAUGAUCAUUGGACCGUGCAUCAUCCAUAUUCAAACUAUAAAUAAUUCAGACUACCAGAGGCAGAAGGAGGAGUGAGGGCAUUCAUGGGAAUAUAAAAUGAAAGAGUCAAGAGCCCAGAAUUUCUCCAUGAACUGUCUUUCCAGGAGGGACAGAAUACGCAGGGCUGCAUGGUGGCAUGUGGCAUCGUGGAAACCGUAUUGCAGACGCACAAAUCAGCCCUAAUCAGCUGCGAGCCGCCCAGACGGGAGAUUGAGCUGCUGCACUUGCUUUUUUCCCGAAGUGAAUGGUCCACAAACAGGAUCUCUUGUUAGCCCUUCUCUGUAACAAGGAUAAUAAAUGACAUCUUGCUAAAAUAUCGUUACGGACCCCAGGGCUGUUUCCCAAUUAAAAAAACAAAGAGGGAAAAAACAGAAACAGCAGACUUGAUGGAGGAGCAUCCCGGAUACAUCAGCAUGUUCAUGUUUUUUUAAUAUCUGAAAUGAAUAAAUGAAAUCUAAUGUUAUGAGCCAGCCACACAGAUUGA